CUGAAGACCUUACUCAAAAACUCCCGUCAAAGCGGAGUUACUUACUUCCCUGCUCUGCUCGUGUCUUCAGGGAUCAUCGUCAUCAUCGAAGGUUCAUGUCAUAAAAUGAAUCUCGAUUAGAACUCAACGACAAAAACUCAUGCCUUAACUCAUGCUCUAUCUUAUAUUCUAUCUCUUAAUCAACUCUACAUAAACUUCUUCACUCAUUUCAAAUCCUUAAGUCCAAGGAUAGGUUUCAAGAAAAUCAUGGUUCUAAGUCUCGAUUUAUCUCUCAUAUAAGACUCGUCUAAUCUCAUUAAAACACUUAGGCAACAUAAACACAUAAGGCACAUAAGAAAAUACAAUCAAACAUCAACAAAUCAUGUUCUGUUUUCCCACUGACUCAACUUCAAAAUUUAACACGUUCUGACUCCGACAUCUCCUGGACUCCAGACUCAUACCAAAAGAAAGGUAUUUGAGUCUAGUUUCAUUUAAAAAAAAGUAGAGUCAGAAACUCCAAGUGGUUUGGGAGAUAUGGCGUUUUUACCACGGUCUACCAUAUUCGGCAGUUUUGAGCAAUCGGAAACAUUGAUUUUUGAAAAAUAGUAAACGUUGUCAAACUGAGCUCAAAUUUGGUGGAUAUCUAGCCCAUACAGUAAGGUUGAUACCAUAAAAAUUUGGAAAGCUAGAUCACACAGGAAGUCACUGAAAUGAAUGACUUUGUCCCCUGUUCUCUGAAAUUCUCGGCAGAAAUGUGCAGAUUUGGUUUUGCAUUUUAUAAAAAUAGUAAAUCAAGUCCAAAGGACUUGAAAUUUUACAGAGGUGCUCAAGACUCAUGUAGGGACAUUCUGUAAAAUUUUCAAAGCUUUUUGACAUCGACAAACCGUCGAUCACAGUAGGUCAGUAGCCUACGAAAAAUCACCAAAAAUUCAUUCCCAACUCUUAAAUGCUCAAAUCAACAUUCCUUCAAAGAAAACCAAUCAAAGCUCAUUUUAAACACAUAUAACACUCAAAAACAUUCAAAAACAUUUAAAAUACUCAUCAUACUCAAAUUAACUCUCCUCUUUUACAUCUUAACUCAAAUCUCAAGGAAAACGUUUCUACAACGUAUCAAGUAAAUCCUCUUCUCAAUUUCAUGCUUAAAAACACUCAAUCAUUCAAAAUGACCUCAUACUUCAUAUAACUCAUUUUAUACACAUAAAUCCCCUUUAAUCAUACCAACCAAACUUUAAUAAAAACUCAUAUAUUCACAUAAACUCUCAACAAAAACAUGACAACUUCACAAAAUGGUCAUAAAGCAAAUUAGACCUCAUUUUAUCAAUUAUUGACUUCUCAAAAUAUGAAAACUCAAAAACUCUCAUAAACUAACUCAAGUCAAAAUUUUACUUAGCUUCCAAUAGACUUAAUCAAACAUAUUAAAACACCAACAUCAUGCUCAAUUACACAUAUCUUAAGCCAAAUCAUUUAUUAAACACAUAGACAAGAAAAUCCCAAUUUUUACCAAACUAAACUCUUUGACAUUUUAUGAACUCACAUGGAUCUUUAAUCUCAUCAUAUAUCUAUUAAUCUUAACCCAUUUAACUCACAUAUAAACCAUCAAUUUACAAAUUAGAGCAUAGAUACACAUAGCCCUAAUUUUAGUAAACUAACUCAUAUCAAAAUCAUCAUUUGACAUCAUAUACUCAAUUUACUCCAUCAAUCAUCAUCAUAUACAUCUCAUAGACUCAUUUACAUCAUCAAUUCAUCACUUAAACCAUCAACUCAAAAGUUCCCAAUUUUGGGUAAACUAAACUUUAUCAAAGUUUGAAUCUCAAAGCAUAGCUUUUCAAAACACACAUCAAUCAUCAUUGAACAUCACAUAGAUCAUCUUUCUCACCCCAAUUCAAGGAAAGAAGAAGAAAAAUUUUUGAAGGGUAGAACACCCAUAUUUUCGAAAAUUUUGAGAAAAAUGAAGGGGGUGAUUUUCUUGCUUCAAACUCUCAAGAAUACUCAUAUACAAUCUCAUACAAGUCUAAUCUAUGAAUAUGGAGAUCACUUACCCAAGUUUACACCAAAUAUCAAAUUUUCUCUCACUAUCUUCAAGAUUGAAUCUCCAUGGAUCUUCUUGAAUCUAAGGAGAUGGAAGGUGUUUAAGGUGGGAUUUUGUUGGUGAUUUAUGUGUUUGGCAUAUUUUGGUGAAGCUUCGAAGGUGCAUCAAUGGAGGAAAAUGGUGGAAAGUAGAGAGAUGAAGGGGAGAGAGGUGGUGGUCGAAAGUUAGGGGAGAAGGAGAGAGAGGAAUUUGCAAGAUAUGAAAUGAUCUUGGUAAUCUUAUAAAAGAUUUGUG
rnacentral:lncRNA from 1 species